rnacentral:rRNA from 1 species
GUGAGGAAUAUUGGUCAAUGGACGAAAGUCUGAACCAGCCAUGCCGCGUGAAGGAUGAAGGCCCUCUGGGUUGUAAACUUCUUUUAUCUGGGACGAAAAAAGGGUAUUCUUACUCACUUGACGGUACCAGAGGAAUAAGCACCGGCUAACUCCGUGCCAGCAGCCGCGGUAAUACGGAGGGUGCAAGCGUUAUCCGGAUUCACUGGGUUUAAAGGGUGCGUAGGUGGGUAUUUAAGUCAGUGGUGAAAUCUCCGAGCUUAACUCGGAAACUGCCAUUGAUACUAUUUACCUUGAAUGCCCUGGAGGUAAGCGGAAUAUGUCAUGUAGCGGUGAAAUGCUUAGAUAUGACAUAGAACACCAAUUGCGAAGGCAGCUUACUACGGGGUGAUUGACACUGAGGCACGAAAGCGUGGGGAGCAAACAGGAUUAGAAACCCUUGUAGUCC